rnacentral:rRNA from 1 species
UACGGAGGGAGCUAGCGUUGUUCGGAAUUACUGGGCGUAAAGCGCACGUAGGCGGUUCGUUAAGUCGGAUGUGAAAGCCCUCGGCUCAACUGAGGAAGUGCACCCGAAACUGGCGAGCUUGAGUACGAAAGAGGAUCGCGGAAUUCCCGGUGUAGAGGUGAAAUUCGUAGAUAUCGGGAGGAACACCGGUGGCGAAGGCGGCGAUCUGGGUAGAUACUGACGCUGAGGUGCGAAAGCGUGGGGAGCAAACAGG